rnacentral:rRNA from 1 species
UACGUAGGGUGCGAGCGUUAAUCGGAAUUACUGGGCGUAAAGCGCACGUAGGCGGCUUUGUAAGUUAGAGGUGAAAGCCCGGAGCUCAACUCCGGAAUUGCCUUUAAGACUGCAUCGCUAGAAUUGUGGAGAGGUAAGUGGAAUUCCGAGUGUAGAGGUGAAAUUCGUAGAUAUUCGGAAGAACACCAGUGGCGAAGGCGACUUACUGGACACAUAUUGACGCUGAGGUGCGAAAGCGUGGGGAGCAAACAGG